CAUAUCGUUGUUUUCCGAGCCGUAUUGUCUAAGGAGCCUGCUGAUGGGCUCUAUGAUGGGACGGCCGAUUCGGGUACGGAAGGAAACGCCCGUGCCUCCGCGUGAUUGGAAAGGAAAACGUAUGACGGCUUC
rnacentral:ncRNA from 2 species